rnacentral:rRNA from 1 species
CAGUAGCCGCGGGAAUACGAAGGGUGCAAGCGUUACUCGGAAUUACUGGGCGUAAAGCGUGCGUAGGUGGUGGUUUAAGUCCGUUGUGAAAGCCCUGGGCUUAACCUGGGAAUUGCAGUGGAUACUGGGUCACUAGAGUGUGGUAGAGGAUAGUGGAAUUUCCGGUGUAGCAGUGAAAUGCGUAGAGAUCGGAAGGAACAUCUGUGGCGAAGGCGACUAUCUGGGCCAACACUGACACUGAGGCACGAAAGCGUGGGGAGCAAACAGGAUUAGAGACCCCGGUAGUCCCUGUCUCUUAUAC